rnacentral:rRNA from 1 species
GGAUUAGGCAUGCAAGUCAAACGGGAUUUCAAUUGUAGCAAUAUUUUGAAGUUCAGUGGCGAAAGGGUGAGGAACACGUGAGUAACUUACCCCUUAGUUGGGAACAACCCCGCGAAAGCGGGGCUAAUACCGAAUGUGGAUAAUUCUUCGCAUGUUGGAUUAUCUAAAGAUUUAUCGCUAAGGGAGAGGCUCGCGUCCCAUUAGCUAGUUGGUGGGGUAAUGGCCUACCAAGGCAUUGAUGGGUAGCUGGUCUGAGAGGAUGGUCAGCCACACUGGGACUGAGACACUGCCCAGACUCCUACGGGAGGCUGCAGUCGAGAAUCUUCCGCAAUGGGCGAAAGCCUGACGGAGCAAUGCCGCGUGAGGGAUGAAGGUCUUCGGAUUGUAAACCUCUGUCACCGGGGAUGAAUAAAUGACAGUACCCGGGGAGGAAGCCACGGCUAACUACGUGCCAGCAGCCGCGGUAAUACGUAGGUGGCGAGCGUUGUUCGGAUUUACUGGGCGUAAAGGGUCCGCAGGGGGCUUUUCAAGUCUGAUGUGAAAUACCGAAGCUUAACUUCGGAAUUGCAUUGGAAACUGCUAGGCUAGAGCAUCGGAGAGGAGAGUGGAAUUCCAGGUGUAGCGGUGGAAUGCGUAGAUAUCUGGAAGAACACCUAAGGCGAAGGCAGCUCUCUGGACGAUUGCUGACCCUCAGGGACGAGAGUAUGGGGAGCAAACAGGAUUAGAUACCCUGGUAGUCCAUACAGUAAACUCUGUGAACUUGACGUGGGGUCCGCCCCGUGUCGUAGCUACGCGAUAAGUUCACCGCCUGGGGACUACGGCCGCAAGGCUAAAACUCAAAGGAAUUGACGGGGGCUCACACAAGCGGUGG